AAGAAGGAAGGAUAAGAUGGUGAGAAAGAGGAGGGCCUGAGAAUGAAAGGGUGGAAAGGAAGGAGGGAGGGAGAAAGGGAAGGAAGGGAGAGAGGGAAGGAGGAAGGAAAGAGAAGGAAGGAAGGAUAAGAUGGCGAGAAAGAGGAGGGCCUGGGAAUGAAAAGGUGGAAGGAGGGAGGGAGAAAGAGGGAAGGAAGGGAGAGAGGGAAGGAGGAAGGAAAGAAGGAAGGAUAAGAUGGCGAGAAAGAGGAGGGCCUGAGAAUGAAAGGGUGGAAGGAAGGAGGGAGGGAGAAAGGGAAGGAAGGGAGAGAGGGAAGGAGGAAGGAAAGAGAAGGAAGGAAGGAUAAGAUGGCGAGAAAGAGGAGGGCCUGGGAAUGAAAGGGUGGAAGGGAAGGAGGGAGGGAGAAAGGGAAGGAAGGGAGAGAGGGAAGGAGGAAGGAAAGAGAAGGAAGGAAGGAUAAGAUG